rnacentral:lncRNA from 10 species
CUGGGGGACUCGAAGACUGCGGGAAAUUUUCUGCGACUCCGACGCUAACCCGCUGCUCCCAGCCUCCGCUUCCUGUUUUCGAGGGAUUAGCUAGGACUGUGCAACACCAGUCUCCGCUCUCGGAGUCGGCACGGGGGCUGGUGGGUGGCGGGAUGAACUCGGGGAAGGCGACAGGCUGGAAACGCAGCUCCUCGACUUUGCAGCGCACCAACCCCCUAUCGCCCCGUCCGCUGCUCAGGUGCGAGGAUUCGCCAGACGCCACAGGACUGGGGGCGACUCGCAAGGGCAUCAUGCCACCUAGAGGAAACGCGCAGUGAGUGAGCCCUGGGUCACUGAAAAUGGGAGAACGUUCGAGUCGGUCAAGAUGACUCCGGCCUGCGAGUUGAUUCAGACUCCUCGGAAGCCAGAAAUUGGGUCUAGAGUGGGUUGGUCCCUCCGUCAGCAGUUCGGGCCCAGCCGAAGCUUGGGGCCUAGAGGGCAGACGUCCGGCUCUGAUCAGAGUACAGCGGGCUGGGCCUGGCAGCCUGCAGGCAACCUGGACCUUGCAAUAAAGCUGCAUUCAACAUAACUCAGACCACAGUGGGAGCCCCCGAAGGGCUUCAUGUGAGUCCCGAAACCAGAGUUUAGAGGCGCGGCCUGGUUCUCGUUUAUCUUUUCCAGACAGCAUUUAGGCCAAUAAGGUCUUUGAAAGGAGGCAGCCCCAAAGCCCUCAGGCCGACACCUGAGGGCAGGGUCUCAAACAGCUGUGCUUGAAGAACCGGCAAUCUUGCUUUUCCCACACGCAGCUGCACCUCUCCUGAGCGCUGCAGCUGAUGGCUGUAUAGUGACCACGGACUGCGUCCUCCUCACGAAGCUGCGCAACUUCUGCUAAUGCUGCAACCCUGGCAAGACGAAAUCCCCCUCCCUCUGGCUAGAUCAGCCCAGCCUCCCCUCAGGGACCUUCCUGCCCCUCCCUACCCCUCCCUACCCCUAGGCCGCUCCCCCCUUCCUCUGUUGGGAUCCGAUCCUUGUUCGCUCUUGCAAUCCCGCAGCCCGGAGUUUUGCCCCGUGCAUUAAAACAUGUUCUCUUUCAUUUGCAGAUUUAAUAAACAAACGUAACCAUAUC